CGUGUGUCUGUGUGUGUGUGUCUGCGUGUGUGUGUCUGUGUGUGUGUGUCUGUGUUUGGCUACUAUAGCCCACUUGAAGAAUGUAGAAUUUGAAAUCCACCAAAAAAACAAAUAAUAAAACCCCCAACUCAGAACCCCCUGCCUGCCCUCUCUCAUCUUCCCCGAAACGCUUUAUUGCCCAUCUAGGACUUCCCAUAUUUUCAUUUGUGAAAUUAAUUCAAAUGCAGAAUUUGGCAUUAAUCUGUUAAAAUCCCUCAUAUUCAGACCUACUCAUUCUCCCUCAUUGAAUUUUUUUCAUCCAAAUAAUUCUAAAUCUCCCCAAGCUACCGCUCACCCUCCAUCCCUCCCUUUGCGUGCCUGUGACCGUCAUUCUCUGAGUUCUUUCUGGGUUCACGGUCCCUUUUUCCAACUCCAUAGUUAUCUGGGUGGCAGCUAGAUGGCACAUGGACGGAGCACUGAGAAUGGAAGACCUGGGUUCAAAUGUAGCCUUGGACACUCGCUGUGUGACCCAGAGCAAGCCGUUUAGCUUCUGUCCGCUUCCGUUUUCUCAGUUCUAAAAUGUGGAUGAUCAUCCCUACCUCCCAAGGUUGUUGUGAAGAUCAGGUGACAGAUCUGUGAAGUGCUUCUCCUGAUUCUUGGCCGGGUUACAACUUUUCCCACGAGGACUGCAUUAGCUGCAUCCCAGAAAUUUUGAGACUGGGGAAGGAUACAUUGCCUACUAAGGUGCCAUACUUCUGUGCUUCCUUUAUGUGGAACAUGUCAUCAUUAAAGAAGAUAUGGG